rnacentral:lncRNA from 1 species
UCCAGCUUGUAUGCGAAGGUACUCAAAUAUGCCCAGUUGGCCGAAGACCUUAUCUCGGUCAAGUACUAACACAUUGCCCAAGUCCGUACCCAACAAUAACCCCAAAAUCUUAUAAGGAGAUUGCCUGACCAAAUAAGUAAUCCUGCAGACAAAUACACCAGAGUUGCACUUCCUCCUUCCUUGACCCCACCUAUAACUCCACCUGCCCGAGCUAACUUACCC